rnacentral:rRNA from 1 species
AUUGAACGCUGGCGGCAGGCCUAACACAUGCAAGUCGAGCGGAUGAAGGGAGCUUGCUCCUGGAUUCAGCGGCGGACGGGUGAGUAAUGCUUAGGAAUCUGCCUGGGAGUGGGGGAUAACGUCCGGAAACGGGCGCUAAUACCGCAUACGUCCUGAGGGAGAAAGUGGGGGAUCUUCGGACCUCACGCUAUCAGAUGAGCCUAGGUCGGAUUAGCUAGUUGGUGGGGUAAAGGCCUACCAAGGCGACGAUCCGUAACUGGUCUGAGAGGAUGAUCAGUCACACUGGAACUGAGACACGGUCCAGACUCCUACGGGAGGCAGCAGUGGGGAAUAUUGGACAAUGGGCGAAAGCCUGAUCCAGCCAUGCCGCGUGUGUGAAGAAGGUCUUCGGAUUGUAAAGCACUUUAAGUUGGGAGGAAGGGCAGUAAGUUAAUACCUUGCUGUUUUGACGUUACCAACAGAAUAAGCACCGGCUAACUUCGUG